rnacentral:lncRNA from 1 species
CCCAGAACUCUCCAGUGGCUUCCGGUGGCGGACGCCCUCUUCGGUUGCCCCGGUGAUCUCCGUCCGGAGCUCCCCUCGAGUGCGGGCUGGACCUACCGACUCCCUUCUGACGAGAGGAAUGGGGCAAAGUGAUGGCAUCUCACUUCCAGGAGCAGGUGACGAAAAGAUUGUGGCUGUCAUCGCAGGUCAGCCAGACAGCACGAGUGCCCAUCCUUCCCCAAGAGGAGUGGCGAUUCCGGGCCAGAGAGGCUGAGCUCCUUACCCAGCAUGGCGCUGGGGGGCAGGGGCCAAGAUGACAUUGGCAGGUCUCCUGACUCAAGUCCAACGCUUCCCCACCCUGCUUCUAAGGCUCCACCUUGGAAAGCCCCCAAGGAGCACAAGGUCAAGGUGGAUGAGCACACAGUGGUAAGUAGCCUGGCUCCUCCUCCUGGGUACCCGAGUAUGACGAGGGCGUGCAGUCUUGGGGCAGCCUCGG